CUGCUCUGCCCACAGUGCCGCCCCUCCAAAGGCAGGAAGCGGGGCUUCUGCUGGUGCGUGGACAAGUACGGGCAGCCCCUCCCGGGCUUCGAUGGGAAGGGCAAAGUCGACGUGCACUGCUACAGCAUGGAGAGCAAGUAAACUGCCCACCACUUAACGUUGAGCUCAAAUACGCCUUAUUUUGCACAAAAGACUGCCAAGGAAAUGAUCAGCAGCUGGCUACAGCCUCAAUUUAUAUUUCUUUUUGUGGUGAAUUGAUUUUUUUCUUAAACCAAAACUUAGAAAGAAAUGUUUGAAAUUCUGAGGUUUCUUCUAAACGGUGCACCUGAGCAUCUUUCCACUUUCCACUGAACCGUGAAACGCAGUUUGAUUUUUCUUGUCGCUUCCUAUAAAAAUACUUGUCAACUCCAGCACAGCACAGCUGGACCUCAUGCUGUCCUGGAAUCUCGCUGCAUUGGACCCUGGGCAUCUGGCCUUGGCGACCAGGCUUUGUCCUCCUCUGUGAAGGCCUCACCGGCUUGUAGAAAGCAGGAAACACCUGUAUCUGGGAUCUAGACACACCACCUGGAGCUCACAUCUGGGGGCAAGGGCCUGGGACCCCUGACAGGCAUUUUGUGUCUUCAAGGGACUGUAAUGUGGAGAUUCAGAGAAUAAGGCAGAGUCUUACUAGUUAUAAAACAAAAAUGACCAAGAAUGUUCUAGGGAACUUGGAGAACCUGUUGUAGCAGGCGUUUCUGACCCUCCUGCAUCGCCAGGCAGUAGGGCCUGGCAGGCCAGUGAGCAGCCUUUUCUGGUGACCCCCAGGGAGGGAGGUGGGAAGGGAUAGCACCUCAUUUCCAGGAGCAUCAGAAUUAAUGGCAGGAUUUGUGUCCUAUGUUGACCAGUUCAAGCUCCAAUCUGUUUUUGAGGAUAAGCUCCUAAAAGGCAAAGGAGGCUUAUUUUCACCCCUCGUGUCUGUCCUGUUGGCACAAUGUUUAAAAAAUGAUAAUUGUAUCUGACGAGGAAAGAGGAAUGGUUUCUUGAGGAGCCCACAUGGGAUCCUGGGAGCACACAGAGUCGCCCCUACUUUUUUUCCUGAUUCACCUAUUUACACAGAUAAUACAUUUUUCAUCAACUGUUACCAUUGUAUGUGUCACAGUCCCAAUGCAAUAGGACCUGUACUAGAGGAUGUUAGCAAGGUUGCUGAGGGUCAGCAUGGCCAGGGGCUUGCACACCAGCCUGCUGUGUCCCCCCUGGGGCCAGCUCUCCAGGUCUGGGGGUGGCGGCAGGGACCCUAGGAGCCUCCAGGUUGGAUGCACAUCGCACUCAGCCCUCCUUGAGAACACAAAGGGUCUCCAGACAUUCUGCCUACCUAUUAGCUUUUCUUUAUUUUUUUAAUUAAGUUUUUGGGAAAAAAAAAAGGUAUUUUUGGAAAGUUUGUCUUGCAAUGUAUUUAUAAAUAGUAAAUAAAGUUUUUACCAUAAAGAGCUGCCCUU